GGAAAGGCGCGCGAUACAGGGUGACAGCCCCGUACACAAAAAUGCACAUGCUGUGAGCUCGAUGAGUAGGGCGGGACACGUGGUAUCCUGUCUGAAUAUGGGGGGACCAUCCUCCAAGGCUAAAUACUCCUGACUGACCGAUAGUGAACCAGUACCGUGAGGGAAAGGCGAAAAGAACCCCGGCGAGGGGAGUGAAAAAGAACCUGAAACCGUGUACGUACAAGCAGUGGGAGCACGCUUAGGCGUGUGACUGCGUACCUUUUGUAUAAUGGGUCAGCGACUUAUAUUCUGUAGCAAGGUUAACCGAAUAGGGGAGCCGAAGGGAAACCGAGUCUUAACUGGGCGUUAAGUUGCAGGGUAUAGACCCGAAACCCGGUGAUCUAGCCAUGGGCAGGUUGAAGGUUGGGUAACACUAACUGGAGGACCGAACCGACUAAUGUUGAAAAAUUAGCGGAUGACUUGUGGCUGGGGGUGAAAGGCCAAUCAAACCGGGAGAUAGCUGGUUCUCCCCGAAAGCUAUUUAGGUAGCGCCUCGUGAAUUCAUCUCCGGGGGUAGAGCACUGUUUCGGCAAGGGGGUCAUCCCGACUUACCAACCCGAUGCAAACUGCGAAUACCGGAGAAUGUUAUCACGGGAGACACACGGCGGGUGCUAACGUCCGUCGUGAAGAGGGAAACAACCCAGACCGCCAGCUAAGGUCCCAAAGUCAUGGUUAAGUGGGAAACGAUGUGGGAAGGCCCAGACAGCCAGGAUGUUGGCUUAGAAGCAGCCAUCAUUUAAAGAAAGCGUAAUAGCUCACUGGUCGAGUCGGCCUGCGCGGAAGAUGUAACGGGGCUAAACCAUGCACCGAAGCUGCGGCAGCGACGCUUAUGCGUUGUUGGGUAGGGGAGCGUUCUGUAAGCCUGCGAAGGUGUGCUGUGAGGCAUGCUGGAGGUAUCAGAAGUGCGAAUGCUGACAUAAGUAACGAUAAAGCGGGUGAAAAGCCCGCUCGCCGGAAGACCAAGGGUUCCUGUCCAACGUUAAUCGGGGCAGGGUGAGUCGACCCCUA
rnacentral:rRNA from 1 species